GCCGAGGGCGCGCCGCUGCCCGGCGCUGGGCGCCAGCCUCCAGCCGCCUGCGGGGCCCGCGAGCUGUCCGCCGCCGCGGGGGUGCUGGCGUGGGUCCCUCGCCGUCCGGCGGCGACUGUAAAUAGAGCCUGGAUGUUGUUUACAUGAAGGAUCCGGCGGGAGGAGUCUGCGAGGAGGAGGCGGAGGAGGAGGGAGGGAAGACAGAGGAAGAGCGGAGUCCCCGCGGCGGCCGCGUCCGGGGGACCCGGCGCUACCACGAGGCCGGGACGCUGGAGCCUGGGAAGGGGGAAGGGACUUGGCGGAGAUCGCCUGCUCCCGGCCGCAGCUGAACCCACGGCUUCUCCCUGCCUUCCCGGGCCAAGGAAUCUUUUCCCUCGCUCAGCUACCCUCGCGCCAGCUGCCACCUUCUUGGAGAAGGACCACACCUGUGCUCAUUCUCGCUCUGGAGGAGAGGUGAGCUGAAAAAAACCAUGAAGUCUUGCGUUCCCCAGACUUCUUAGCGAAUCCCCCAUCCUAGAAUUGACCAGAAAGUGCUGCUUUCACCUGCUGAUGGUACUGGGCACAUCCAUCUUCAGACCCAGGCAAGUUGUGGUCUACAGAUGUGCUGGGAUUUUCUGUUCCCUCUGGACCUGCACCCCACCAACCCGCAGCUAACUGCUGGGUUGGAUGGAGAGAGAUGACCUCCUUAGGUCAUUCCAGAUAUUUGUUCCCUACCAGGUUUUCUAAUGGAAUUGUCUGCUCUCUCCUCACAGCCACCUAUUUUUCUUCCCCUAAGAGCUUAGCCCAAAAUCCCGUGGAAAGCAGCCUGUCUCUGGCUCUCUUUCCCUGGGCCCCACCCUGGCCCCUCUUGGUUCUCCAGAGCCAAACACGCCUCCCCAGCAGAAGACACACCCAGCCCCAAAUCCAACUAUUCCAAAAGGGAGGGGAAAACAGUGGAAGAGAAAGGACCCAAAGGUCUCUUUUCUGUCCCAAAUAUCACCAACAGCAUUUUCCUUUUCAAGCCUCCUAGAUUUAUAAUCCCUUGAUUCUUCUCUCACCAGCUGUCCCCUUUACCCUUUUCGCCCAUAGUCCUCUGAUAAUAGAUCUUUGGGAAGGUGCGAAGACUGGGAGAAGGGUGUUUUCACCUUUCUUCCCUAGAGUGAGGCAUUUUUCAUCAACUCAGUCUUUUAAUUUUUGAGUAAGAUAUGUAAAUAUGUUUGCAUGCUUAUUUGAAACUUGGUUUCUGGAUGGCUAAAUAAUAGCUGGGACUCACAAGAAAGGGAAGGAAAAGAGAUGAGAAAUGAACAUCCCUCCCUCCCCUCCCAGGUUCCUCCAUAAGAGCAUCCCCAGAGUUGCUGAAGACCCUUCUGUAAAAGUCAACAGCCUUUCUUUCAUGACAUCACCACCUAAGCCCUUCCAACUUUAGCUUCAGAACAGGAAGAACGCUCAAAAUAGAACUAUCUUAGGAAUCUAGCUCCUUUAAAAGAUCAACUUUUAAAUCAGCUGCAGGAGGAACACUGAACUUUGACACAGGGAGGGGAAACUGAAGUGUUUGUAAUUGGUUCCUUUGGGGGAAAAGUGGAGGAUGCUUCCCAUGCAUAUUCAGAAAAGCUUUUCUCAAGAUAACUUAGGUACCCAGACCAAUGAAUGAUUAAUAGGAUGGUUUGGGAUUCAUUUAUUGAAUUAUUCAUAUGUUUCAGUAUGAUGCAACAAUAACAAGCAUUUUUCAGAAUGAAUUGAAGAGGGACUCCUGGAAUGUGCUCUAAAGAGUCUGCUAGAGAUAAAGGGGGUUGUGGAAGGAGGCUGGGAGGGAGCACUUCAGGAAGGUGAAGAAUCAGGAUUCAGUGACAGCUGCUCUGAGUAUGAAGUUCAGAGGCUCAUUGUAAACAAUGACUGUAACUUUUGUGUGGUAACUAUGGUCCUGGACCAAGAAGUAACCAUGUCAGGAUUUUCCACCUUUACCUUGGAACUGAACUGCG